UACGUAGGGUGCAAGCGUUGUUCGGAUUCACUGGGCGUAAAGGGUGCGUAGGCGGUCGGGUAAGUCUGAUGUGAAAUCUCACAGCUUAACUGUGAAACUGCAUUGGAUACUAUCCGGCUCGAGGAAUGGAGGGGAGACUGGAAUACUUGGUGUAGCAGUGAAAUGCGUAGAUAUGACAUAGAACAUCGAUUGCGAAGGCAGCUCGCUACGCUAUUAUUGACACUGAGGCACGAAAGCGUGGGGAUCAAACAGG
rnacentral:rRNA from 1 species